rnacentral:rRNA from 1 species
GAUGAACGCUGGCGGCGCGCCUAAUACAUGCAAGUCGAGCGAACGGACGAGAAGCUUGCUUCUCUGAUGUUAGCGGCGGACGGGUGAGUAACACGUGGAUAACCUACCUAUAAGACUGGGAUAACUUCGGGAAACCGGAGCUAAUACCGGAUAAUAUUUUGAACCGCAUGGUUCAAAAGUGAAAGACGGUCUUGCUGUCACUUAUAGAUGGAUCCGCGCUGCAUUAGCUAGUUGGUAAGGUAACGGCUUACCAAGGCAACGAUGCAUAGCCGACCUGAGAGGGUGAUCGGCCACAAUGGAACUGAGACACGGUCCAGACUCCUACGGGAGGCAGCAGUAGGGAAUCUUCCGCAAUGGGCGAAAGCCUGACGGAGCAACGCCGCGUGAGUGAUGAAGGUCUUCGGAUCGUAAAACUCUGUUAUUAGGGAAGAACAUAUGUGUAAGUAACUGUGCACAUCUUGACGGUACCUAAUCAGAAAGCCACGGCUAACUACGUG